UACGUAGGGGGCAAGCGUUGUCCGGAAUUACUGGGCGUAAAGCGCGUGUAGGCGGCAAGGCAAGUCGGGUGUGAAAGCCCUGGGCUCAACCCAGGAAGUGCAUUCGAUACUGCCGAGCUGGAGUCCCGGAGAGGAUGGUGGAACUCUCGGUGUAGAGGUGAAAUUCGUAGAGAUCCGGAAGAACACCGGUGGCGAAGGCGGUCGGCUGGGCAAUGGCUGACGCUGAGGCGCGACAGCGUGGGGAGCAAACAGG
rnacentral:rRNA from 1 species